CCUACGGGAGGCAGCAGUGGGGAAUAUUGGGCAAUGGGCGCAAGCCUGACCCAGCAACGCCGCGUGAAGGAUGAAGGUUUUCGGAUUGUAAACUUCUGUCGCGAGGGACGAAGAAUGACGGUACCUCGUAAGAAAGCGCCGGCUAACUACGUGCCAGCAGCCGCGGUAAUACGUAGGGGGCAAGCGUUAUCCGGAUUUACUGGGUGUAAAGGGAGCGUAGACGGCAGCACAAGUCUGGAGUGAAAUCCCGGGGCUUAACCCCGGAACUGCUUUGGAAACUGUGCGGCUGGAGUGCAGGAGGGGUAAGCGGAAUUCCUGGUGUAGCGGUGAAAUGCGUAGAUAUUAGGAGGAACACCGGUGGCGAAGGCGGCUUACUGGACUGUAACUGACGUUGAGGCUCGAAAGCGUGGGGAGCAAACAGGAUUAGAUACCCCAGUAGUC
rnacentral:rRNA from 1 species